CACGUAGGGGGCAAGCGUUGUCCGGAAUUAUUGGGCGUAAAGAGCUCGUAGGCGGCUCGGUAAGUCAGGUGUCAAAUCCUCAGGCUCAACCUGGGGCUCCACCUGAUACUGCUGUGGCUAGAGUCCGGUAGGGGAGCGUAGAAUUCCUGGUGUAGCGGUGAAAUGCGCAGAUAUCAGGAGGAACACCAGCGGCGAAGGCGGCGCUCUGGGCCGGAACUGACGCUGAGGAGCGAAAGCGUGGGUAGCAAACAGG
rnacentral:rRNA from 1 species